ACCUUGUUACUCUGAAUCAGUGAUUAAGGGUUUUAGGGUUUGGGUAUAUUUCUCUCCGCCUCCCUCCCCAUUCGACUGAACUAAUAACACGCCACCAACAUCGUUGUUUUCCUUGUUCAGGCCAACCAACAUCACGUCACUGCCCGGCAAGGCCACCGCCACGCCACCACAGCACACCCUCGUUGUUCUCCUUCUCCUUCUUCAGAUUCUAACCGAAACUUGGUAAUUUCAUGAUUUGGGAUAAGAUCUAGAAGCUGAAGCUCCGGCAAUGAAGAGUAAAAAGGGAAGCAAGGCACGUGCAAAAGACAUGGUUAAAGAUAAUGGCAUGGUUGACAUUGGUAAUGUUCUUGUACAUGACACAGAACUAGGAACUCCAUCUGAGAGAUAUUUGAGCAUUUGGUUUGUGGAUACAUGUACCCUAAUCCAUCUAGUUUCUAGGGAGGCUGCAAAUGAUAUCUUUGUUAACGGUGUUUUGAAUGAAUGAACCUACCUUAAAAGUCUAAACUCAAAUUAUUAAUUCAUGUUUCUUGGUUAGUUUAGUGAAAUUUAUACCAUCACAUAUAUCUGAAUGUUUAAGUUAGCUUCGAAGAUAUGCGUAAUUGGGUGGUUUCAAAAAUCUUGACUUUUUCAUUGGAACCGAUCUUUUUUAAGCAGCUGAACAAGUGUUUCUUUUUUCUCGUGUAUUAGUUAAUGUACUUGUUAUUAAAGGGUUAUUGGAUUUAUUGUUUAGUACGUAGGACGAUCAACUCUGAAUGAUUUCAAAGUUGAUUUUGUUUUGUAUGAUGAUUAUCAGCUACUAUGGAAGCACUUCUCGAGUAAUUCUCUGUUCAAGAGAUUCUAACUCAAACUUUGUAUGAUUUCUCACUGAUGUUCAUGAUUUGAAAUUAGAACCAGAAGAUUUGCCAAUCAAGUCUAAAAAGGGCAGUAAUAAGCGUGCUACAGCACCGGAUUCGAAUCCUCCAACUGUCAAAGACAUCCUUGAAAUUGAUGGAGUUCUUGUUGAUGAUGACUUGAAUGAACCAACCAUGGGAGAAAAACUUGGAAGUUUAAAUUUAUUAGACAAUGCUAGACCAGAGAGCCAUGAUAAAGAAGAAUCUUCUCUCGAUCCAAAGCCUCUAAGUGCAGACUCAAUUCAUGUUUUACUCAAGAAAGCACUACAUGCCAAUGACUGUGCCCUUUUAUUAGAUUGCUUAUACACCCAAGAUGAGAAGGUUGUAGCUCUCGUAGUUCAUAUUGGUUAUAUAAUACUUAUGCAUGAAGAUAAGUGUUAAUGUGGAUGAUACAACUGGUGGUUUAGGUCAUUGCAAAAUCCAUCUCACAGUUGAAUCCAUCUGGUGUUUUGAAGCUCUUACAAUCUCUCAUUUCUAUCAUUCAGUCAAGGAAAGAUAUCUAGCGGUAUGCUUUAUAUGCUGGAUGCUCUUGUGGUAUACCUAACGGAUUUGUAUGCUUUAUUUUGACUCUAGGGGUGCAAUUUAGGCAUGUGCACUUCCAUGGCUUAGAAGUUUACUUCUUCAACUCGCAAGUGGCAUAGUAUCCCAAGAAUCUUCUUUGAGUGUCUUGAACUCCUUAUAUUAACUCAUUGAGUCCAGAGUUUCAACUUUCCAGUCGGCUCUUCAGCUAUCGAGUGUCUUAGACGUGCAUUAUACAGGGGUUUAAAGGGCUAAAGUGGCAAGAAAGUGCAUUUUGGUGCCUUUUGGAGCAGUUUUGGGCUUGGAAUGAAUAUCACAUGCAUGGAGCAAGAGGAUGGACGAAAUUGAAGACCAAAAAAGACUAUGAUUAUGCUGAAGUUAUGAAGAAAUUAAUUCAAAGAAAAUGAAGUUAAAGAUGCAAUCAAGAAAGAAGGAAUGUUAGCCAAGUUACCUUAUUUGGUCCUAACCUUUCCUAAUCCUAAUUCACCUAUGUUCCAGCUUCAAAGAGGUGUUCUAAAUAUUUUAGGACACUUAAGUAUCUGAUUCUCCUAUUCAAACAAGGGAGCCGCACCAAUUCUUUCUAGAAAGUCAAAGUCCUUGCCGUGUACCCUCUUUCCCUUUCUCCCUUGCUUUGCCGCACCCCACAUUCCUUUUCCUUUUGGAUUCUGACCUUAAUUACUCCUUUUCCUUGUGGAUUUGGGCUGAAAUUAUGUUUCCCAAAAUUAAUUAGGGUUAGGACUUUCUCAUCCUUAUAAAUAAACACUUUCUGCCGCAAGACCACCUAUCCACCCUUCACCAUAAAUCAGCCAUUCCAUCUACUUAUCUAUUGAUCCAUCCUCUAUCACCCGUGGACCAUUCUACACUACUCACACCAUUCACCACCAUUCAUCAUACCCUAAACACAUUCAAACACUCCUUGCCGCAGCCAACCUUCAUCCAUACACAUCCAUUCAUCUUCUUAGCCUUCUUCCAUAUAAAUCACCACCUUAACCUUACCCUAAACCUUGUGCCGCAACAAAGAGAAGAAUGAGGACCCUUGGAAUGCUUGCUAUUCAAGUUUGGAUUGCUGGAUCAUUCUUAGGUGUAAUCUAUCUUUUGUUUUCAAUGUUUAAGUUUAUGUAUCUUUAUUUUGUGAACAUGAGGAACUACCCCUCUUGGCUAGGAGUAAUUUCAAAGUCAUGAUUAUGUGUG